GAACGCGUCUUGGUUAUUGAUGUUAAGUGCUUGCAUUUAAUUGAUUUAACAUUGAGACGAGUGGCGAACUGGUGAGUAACACGUGGGUAACCUGCCCUUGAAGUAGGGGAUAACACUUGGAAACAGGUGCUAAUACCGUAUAACAACCAAAACCACCUGGUUUUGGUUUAAAAGAUGGCUUCGGCUAUCACUUUAGGAUGGACCCGCGGCGUAUUAGCUUGUUGGUAAGGUAACGGCCUACCAAGGCAAUGAUACGUAGCCGACCUGAGAGGGUAAUCGGCCACAUUGGGACUGAGACACGGCCCAAACUCCUACGGGAGGCAGCAGUAGGGAAUCUUCCACAAUGGACGAAAGUCUGAUGGAGCAACGCCGCGUGAGUGAUGAAGGGUUUCGGCUCGUAAAACUCUGUUGUUGGAGAAGAACAGGUGUGAGAGUAACUGUUCACAUCUUGACGGUAUCCAACCAGAAAGCCACGGCUAACUACGUGCCAGCAGCCGCGGUAAUACGUAGGUGGCAAGCGUUGUCCGGAUUUAUUGGGCGUAAAGCGAGCGCAGGCGGUUUCUUAGGUCUGAUGUGAAAGCCUUCGGCUUAACCGGAGAAGUGCAUCGGAAACCAGGAGACUUGAGUGCAGAAGAGGACAGUGGAACUCCAUGUGUAGCGGUGAAAUGCGUAGAUAUAUGGAAGAACACCAGUGGCGAAGGCGGCUGUCUGGUCUGUAACUGACGCUGAGGCUCGAAAGCAUGGGUAGCGAACAGGAUUAGAUACCCUGGUAGUCCAUGCCGUAAACGAUGAGUGCUAAGUGUUGGAGGGUUUCCGCCCUUCAGUACUGCAGCUAACGCAUUAAGCACUCCGCCUGGGGAGUACGACCGCAAGGUUGAAACUCAAAGGAAUUGACG
rnacentral:rRNA from 1 species